rnacentral:rRNA from 1 species
UAAAUUAAGUUUAGUUUUUUCUUUUAUAAAGCUAAUAAUUGGAAAUACAUGUAAAUUUUUGUUAGAUUAUUACGUUCUUAAAGAUAAUAAUUUAUUUUCAGUGUUUAAAAUUUUAUUUAUGAUUUUUCUUAAUAAGUUAUAUUUUUUAGGUUGGAAUAAUGUUGUGCCAGCAUUCGCGGUUAUACUUCAUUUUCAAGUUUUAUAUUUUGAUUUGAGUUAGUUGAUUUAUAUUGCAUUAAUUUGAAAUAUUUGGGUGAAAUCUAUAUUUUAAUUUUUUUUUUUUGUCUCUUUAAUCUUUUUUUAAACUAGGAUUAGAUACCCUAUUAUUUAAGUUUAAUUUUUUUUUGUCUUAUGAUUAUAUUUAUUUUAAAGUAAAAGAACUUGGCGGUUAUUUAAUCUUUUUAGAGGAACCUGUUUUUUAAUUGAUAAUCCACGAUUAAAAUUUACCUUGUUUUUCUUGUAUAUCUCUGUUGUUGAAUGUAUUGUUAAAUUAAUUUUCUUUAACUAGUUUGUUUUAUGUUAGGUCAAGGUGCAGUUAUAAUAAGGAUUAAAUGGGUUACAAUUAUUUUGUUUAUUGAAUUUUUUUUUUUGUAAUUUAAUGAAUUUGGAUUUAAUAGUAAUUAUUUUUAUUUAAUUUAUUGAAUUUUGCUCUGGAUGAUGUACAUAUCGCCCGUCACUCUCAUAAAUUGGGAUAAGUCGUAACAAAGUAGUUGUACCGGAAGGUGUAUCUAGAAU